UACCUGCAGCUCGAGUGGUAACCGCUUUUAUUGGGCCUAAAGCGUCCGUAGCCGGUUUGGUAAAUAUCUGGGUAAAUCGUGAGGCUUAACUUCACGAAUUUCGGAUAGACUGCCAGACUUGGGAUCGGGGGAGGUCAGAGGUACUCCAGGGGUAGCGGUGAAAUGUUGUAAUCCUUGGAGGACCACCGGUAGCGAAGGCGUCUGACUAGAACGAGUCCGACGGUGAGGGACGAAGCCCUGGGGCGCAAACCGGAUUAGAUACCCGGGUAGUCCAGGGUGUAAACAAUGUGGGCUUUGUAUUGGAGGUCCCACGUGGGCGUCCAGUGCAGAAGAGAAGUUGUUAAGCCCACCGCCUGGGAAGUACUGUCGCAAGGCUGAAACUUAAAGGAAUUGGCGGGGGAGCACAGCAACGGGAGGAGCGUGCGGUUU
rnacentral:rRNA from 1 species